rnacentral:rRNA from 1 species
UGCCAUGUGAUCAGUCAUANCCUAANGUNUAAAUAGUNGAGACUGCCGGACGGCUCAGUAAAUCAGUUAUAAUCCGUUCGAAAGUAACCCCAUUGGAUAACCGUGGGAAAUCUAGAGCUAAUACAUGCGUUAAAGAUGUGGUAGCAAUAUUGCAUCAGCAUUUAUUAGAAAAAACCAACUGAUUUGGGUUAGUGGUAAUACAUUGGCCUAAAUUGAGGUGAAUCUAGAUAACUAUGCUAAUCGCAUGGCCUUGUGCCGGCGAUGUUUCGAUCGAAUUUCUGCCCUAUCAACUUGUUGGUAAGGUAGUGGCUUACCAAGGUUGCAACGGGUAACGGGGAAUCAGGGUUCGAUUCCGGAGAGGGAGCCUGAGAAACGGCUACCACAUCCAAGGAAGGCAGCAGGCGCGCAAAUUACCCAAUCCAGACAAUGGGAGGUGGUGACCAGAAGUACUGAAUAGUGGAUUUAUAUCUACUAAUUCGGAAUGAGCAUAAAGUAAAAAUUUAGUCGAGUAACAACUGGAGGGCAAGUCUGGUGCCAGCAGCCGCGGUAAUUCCAGCUCCAGUAGCAUGUCGUAAAGUUGUUGCGUUUAAAACGCUCGUAGUUGGAUCAUAGAGUAGCGUAAAGUUAGUCUGUUUCAAAUGACAAUACAACUGCUAUUAUUGUGUAUUGUAGUUAAUUCUACUUUAGAUAAUGAUAGUAGAGCCGUUUGUUGAGAUUUGUAAGCUUUGCGUUGCUAUUUGCACGUAAGAAUGGUGAUUGGCCUUAAGUGCGUCGGUCAUUGUGUCUUACGGAGUGUGCCUUGAAAAAAUCAGAGUGCUUAAAGCAGGUGUUGUGCCUGAAUGAUACAGCAUGGAACGAACAAUCGUGUUAAGUGUGCAGUGUAAAUUGUACACAUCACCAACCACCAUGUACGGAUGUUGGUUUCCGUAUUGGGGUGAAGAUUAAAACGAGCGGUUGGGGGCAUUGGUAUUUGGCCGCUGAGAGGUGAAAUUCUUAGACCGGCCAAGGACUAACAAAAUGCCAAGGCAUUUGGCCAAGACCGUCUCGACUAAUCAUGACCGAAAGUGAGCGGAUCGAAGACGAUCAGAUACCGUCCUAGUGCUCACNCGUAAACUAUGCCAACCCCGGAUUAGCUUCUAGCAAUAAAAUCGCUCCAGGUUGGUCCCCCUGGGAAACCUAAAGUGUUUGGGUUGCGGGGGGAGUAUGGUCGCAAGGCUGAAACUUAAAGGAAUUGACGGAAGGGCACCACCAGGGGUGGAGCCUGCGGCUUAAUUUGACUCAACACGGGAAAACUCACCGCCCAAACCGGACGUUAAAAGGAUAGACAGACUAAAAGAUCUUUCUUGAUAUGAUGUGUGGUGGUGCAUGGCCGUUCUUAGUUCGGUGAAUUGAUUUGUCAGGUUUAUUCCGGUAACGGACGAGACCAAGAUCUUCAUUUACAAUACGUAAUAGUUGUGCUGAAAGGUAUGACUAUAGAGACAGCAGUUUGUGAUGGGUACCCACUUGUCCGAGCUGUUGUAGAUAAUCUUACGUAGUACUGUACAGGGAAACUUGUGCAGUUGCAUGAAGAGACAACUGACUAUAUAUAAAAUCAGAGGAGGUUUGGCAAUAACAGGUCUGUGAUGCCCUUAGAUGUUCGGGGCUGCACGCGCGCUACAAUGAUGACUGGCAGCCNGAGAUAUCUGGGCCGAAAGGCUUGGAAAAUCUGUAAAUCGUCAUCGUGAUGGGGAUUGUCCAUUGUAAUUUGGACAUGAAAUAGGANUCCCUUGUANGNGCACUUNAUCUUAAAGUGCGUGGAAUGAGUCCCUGCCCUUUGUACACACCGCCNGUCGNUACUACCGGGAGUGAAUGGUGUCNANGCAUGCAGNGNGGGGGUACCGGUA